GGGGGGGGGGGGAAGCCGGGCUGUGCGCCGGUCGAGCCGGGAGCUGCCUCGUUGUAAGGCCGUAGCUCCCAGGUUGGCACGCACGACAAAAAGAAGUUUAGCGCGUUUGAGGAGCUGAAGUUGCAUGGCGGCGGUAGCUGUGUGUCAGUGCCGUCGGGGGUGCGGGCUGGCACCGCCUGUUAAGGGCUUUGGGGCGUCCGCUGCACGUCGCCUCUUAGCGGGCGGGUGGAAGCUUUUGGGUACGUCUGCAGGCAGCCCCGAAGCGGAUUAUUGCUGAGGCUGCGCUGUGUCGUAAUCCCGUCUGGAUGGAACGCUUCGAAGGCCGUCGGCAGGUCGGAACAUCUCCGCACGCUCCGGUGCCGCGCUGCCAUCGUCGGUAUUAACAAAUGCCUGCCGUAGUUGUAGUGGUUUUCUGGUGUGACGGCCGAUGGGGUCAGCCCUUGCUCCGUGGUCCCGCUCGGUGGAGAUGGAGGUGGUGUGAGCAACGUGCCCGCAGCGUAGCGCAAAGGAAGGGAAACGUGGGGAGAAAGUGGGUUGGAACCCAUCACCCUCCCCUCUCGUGGGAGUUCUGCUGCGUGACAGUGCUGAGAUCGCCUUACUGCUUCGUGUUCCUUUCUUCUGCCCUCUAGUUGUACUGUGCCAAAGAGGUCUAAAAGGUGUUUGAUAAACUGCUUUGAGAAGAGGAGAAUUCCUCUGGAACUGAUGAGAUUAGAUGCAUUCCUCGGAGAUGUGACACAUCUCAGUCUUGAGUGCUUUGCUGUGGGCAGCCCGGCAUGUGACACCAAGCACUGUAUACAAGAGAACUCAUUUCUCCAGCUAAGAGGCUUUGUCAGUGGGAGGCAUCUCAGACUUUCCUGUUUGCCCCAUGGAUGUAUAUAGAAUAGGAGCUCCAGGUAAUCAGGAGAAAAAAAUCCACCAUCAAAGAACUAACUACAGCUGAAAAGCCCUGCUGAUGUGUGGUGCUUCAGGUGAAGGAAUUUCUGCAUGCUGCAGUGGUAAUAUGUUUUGAGUUACUUAUAAAAUAGCUGAUUCCUUGCAUAUGUUUUUUUGUAACUCUGCUUGUUUUUCUUUUUUUUUGCUUGCCAGAAGAAACAUUUUGCUUUAGCUGCAGCAUUGUGCUUUUAAGUCCUGCCUUUCUACUUAUUCAUUUUGAAACCUCUCCCUAGAUGUGAUGGACAGGAGUUGCCUCCGGCACAGUCUGUGGCUAUUCCUCAACGUGCACUUGUAGAGAUGUCUGUGAAGAGCUCCAGGAGUAAAAGGCAGAUCAGGUUUUCUGCAUUUUCUGUUCUCUUGUACCUCUCUGUGAACUUGCUGUCAGGAUGUGGUUCAUCUCAGGUGUGUUUGUACCAAAUUCUUGGUUUCAGAGGUGCACGGGCGCUUAGCGUAACUGAGAUCAGGAUUUAGAUUGAGCUCCAGAUGGUGAUCAGAGGAUUACUUGGAGAGCUGAUUAUGAGAGUUCUUUGUAUAAGUCCCAUGCCUAACUGAAUAGUUACAUCACAAAGAUUUCUCUUUAAUGAGUCAUCAGACAAUUUAGUGGGGGAAAAAAAACAACCACCACCACCUUCUAAGCUUUCCCAUGAAGCUGUUUUUCCUUAGCCCAUCUGGUUCCUAUUGAGCUGUACCCCAGCACUUGCAGGCUGCUUUAAUAGGUAUUCAUUUUCUGACUCUGAGGAUGACAUCUAUGAUAUCUCUUAUGUCUGAAUAUCUUCUUCUCUGCACGUGUGGCCUACGUUUGUCCUUGUGUUCAUCUACCAAGUGUGAGUGUACUGCUGUGGUGUGAGCAGUGAACAAAGACCGUUGUCCAUGGUGUGUUCCAAAGUACAAUCCGCUGCAUUUCUGUGUGCUAUUUUUGGAGUUUUCUUAGCAGAGAAGGUGGUCAGCCAGUCUGACUUCAGAGCCAAGUUAAGGGGAAAGUAGCAGUGCAAGCAGCAAGUGGAAUACCCGUUUCUGAGAGGAACAGCAAAGAAACAUAAGUGCAAAAACUGAUGGACCAUUACAUCUUCUAAAAUGAGCCUAUUCACGCGUUUCUACUGGAAACUAGCAUGUCUUGAAGCAUCACCUGUGGCCUUACUGGAAUUGCCUCAGUGUUUCUGGACCAAAUUCUUUUCUUCCUGAGAGAAGAAUCCAUCACCAAUUUAAUGUAAGUCUUGACUAAAUAUGGACAGUUUGAAUAUGGGCCCAAGUCUCACAAACUGGAUGAUGCUGUCCAGCCAGAGUCCAUCACCAUCCAUCCGUACUUUCUCUGGUAGAGGGAACGUUUCCAGUGCUGGAUGGAUGAGUCAAUUUUUGAGGGAGCUCUUGUGCCCAGCGGGGGCUAAAGCUGUGAAGGGAGGCUGCAUAAACCCUUACAUAGUCCAUUGCUGCUACUGAUGCUGUCUGCAGGGCACUGGUUAUUCCCUUCAGCCAAGGGGAGCCAUCCUAGCCAUCACUAGAGAUCGUUUUUCGAGAUCUUAAGGAUUUCAUGUUAUAAACUGAAACUGUAGUAGACACAACUCAUUUAUGGUACCAGUAGUGUAACAGCCCGAGACUAACACCAAGUUUCCCAGCGGAAGAUCCAUCAGACUCAUCCCCACGUUGAAUUUAUAGCUGCUGUCAACGUUGGGGCAGUGAAUUUGACAGCUUGGUUGGUAGAUGUACACGGACUUUUUUGGAUGCUUCAUUUGCUGUGUUGGGAACAGUUUUGCUUCAGCGGGGUGUGAAGUAUUGCUGCUGGGGAUCUGAUAGCCUUCACUUAAUGGUGAAGUGGGCUGCUCUGUCAAUAUCUGCCUGAGACCUGAUGCUCUUAGAGCUGAUUUACACAGCCACUGCUCCUUGAUUAGCUUGUUAUGAACAACACUUUAGGGCUCCCUGAUCUGGGAUCUCACUGUGCCGGUCUGCAGCCUGCUUUAGAGCAUCCGGACUGGCAGCCACAGUGCGUCUGCCUUCUAUUAAGUUCUGCUAUGAAGAAAAGCCAUUUUGAUUAGCAGAGCACAUCGUGCUGUCAUUUAGUUUGGUAGCUUUAGUAGCUGAAGUAUCACACAGGAUUGUUGCAGUGUUUUUCCCAGCUUCCCGAGUAUAACAAUUCUAUUCUUAUGGUAUAUAUUUUUCCUACGUUUACAUGUUGAGUGGAUGUAUUGAACAAUGUUGGUUUGCAUUAUGGUAACGAUGAGCUACAUAAGUGUGGGAGAGGUGCAGCAUUCACGUUGUUGUAGAUUUGCCAGCUAGCAUUAUUUGUCUGCAUGUUGUCUUAUCAAAUAAGAAGAUAUUGUUGCUCCAGAACAUUUGCACUUGCCAUCUUGAAAUAUGAUUACACUUCUAUUAAACUAACGUGUUUACUCACCACUACUGAGUAAAGGAGAAGUUUAGUGUUGUUGAUAAGGUGCUUGGUUUAUUUAACAUCUGAGUCUGUCUCCAUUCCCUGGUACAUGAGCACUGCAGUACGCCUUGUGUCGAGAUAACUGUGCUGGGAGAGGUGCUCAAGUCUUCUGCUCACAUAUGUGUUCCCACACUUCAGUUUUCCUUGAAAUCUAAAUGCUGUCUUUGGGUUGAUGGAUCUCAGGCAGAAAGGAGCUCUGGUUUUAUCUCUUAAAUUAAGCAACGUUGAUAAAAGCAGCCAGGUUAUGCCGGAGUCAAUGUGAUGGUAAUAAAUUCCUUCCGCUCUUUCUUCAGCCACGGUGAAAAUGGAAAGGGCUAAAUUUACUGCUGUUCUUCAGGCCUCUUUGUACAGUGCAGGAGAAAAUUUAGCCAUUUUGACCUUCCUCUGACAUGUGUAGUCAGUGGAGAUGAGAGCAGAGAAAGCCUUCAUCAAAAUAAAUGAAGUGGAUGCUGGGCUUUCUGACACUAUUACUAAUGCAGUCCUGUGUGCAGCAGUUGAAGUGGAAGCCUGCGAGGCCAAGUGCAGGCAGUCUCAGCUGCUGUUUCAUACAGCAGCACAUCACUUGGUUUCAGGCUGUUUCUGUUUUUAAAGCUCUCUGUCCCAGAGGUUCUAUGGUAGUGGCUGUGAAUGAGAUGCAUGCUCGCUGAUGCAAAGGGUACACAAGCUUGUUGCACUGUGUGCGCCAACUGCAAGGAAGGUGGCGAGAGCUCCCAGUUGCAAACCCUUCCCUGGGUUUGUUAUGCUGACCUGGUCUUUACUGCAGCAAGGACAGUGAAUUUGUUGUUUCAGUGGUGUCUUUGUAGAGGAGGUGAUGAGGUGACAGCUCAAGGUGCAGGGGGGUUCCUGCUGCUGGCAGGGGUGUGGGGAACUGCUGUCAGCAGCCCUCAUGGGGCUCAGUGAUUAUAGCAGUCCCUGUAUUUGCCCUGUCUGGUACUGAUCUCAGCCUUCAGCCAUUUCCAGCAUCAGGAUGGCCAAGUGACCACUGCAAAAUGAGCUGAUGUUGAGCUCCUUGCUUGUCAGUGGGGACGUAUUGUACUCUGAGAACCUGAACAGCAUAACUGAGCGGUGAGCUCAAAUCAAGGUGGGUUCUUUCAGGUGCAGACUCUGGGCAAUUGAAACCAGCCUGAGAGAAGAGUUGCAAAACCUAGCCCAUGUGCUUAAAGGAAAUGCUCGGCCUGUGCACUUUUCCUACAGGAGGUAGCAAUACACGUACCUAACAAGCUGUCUCUUGCAGUUAAAUAUUGGCAAUGUACGGGAAGUAGCAUCUGAAAAAACGCAGGUGAUUUGCUUUCUUACAGCGCAUAAAAGACAACUUCAUUUUGUUGAUCAGUACCAGAAAUGACAAAGCUGUGCAGUAGAAUUAGGAUAUAUGCCACAAAGGUUUUUGUUUUGAUUUGCUCUGAAAAGAGCUCGUAUCCUCAGUGGUGCGCAUGCUGUGGUUUGCAAACUGCUCUGCUAUGGGUGAGGUGAACCCAAUACUACAAAACACUUUGUGCCCAUAGGAAAAAUAGAAGUGCAGUGACAGUGGUGUUGGGCGUUGGAUGAUAGAAAGUUAAGGUCUACUUACAUAUCCAUCUCUAUGGCUUAUUGGGACUUCUCAGGAAGAAUGCUGUCACACAAACAUCAUCAUGCAUAGCCAUGAAUGGAACUUUCUCAAUUUUGUUCGUGCUGGAGUAUUUCUAUGCAAAAAGAAAGUGUAUGUAUGUAGCAGUGAAUGCAUGGCUAUAGACACGUCUGGUAAAACUGGGUGAUUAUAUUAAACUAUGAAUUGAAGGGAACAUUAGAAUGGUUGCCUGAGGCUCCAGUGUGACUUUUUAGUGCUCUGGAUGGUUAAUAUGGAAUAGCUGCACUGCUAGGACAGAGGAGCCCAGAAUAAUUUUCCUUGUCCUAGUUAAGUCAAGAACUAUUAGAGUAGUGGAAAUAAGGUUUCAGAAAGAGAAGGAAAAGGGGUGAGGGAAGCGUCAGCUCUCACUCUUACUAGUUAGGGAGAAAAGUACACAACAGUAGCAGAAGUCAGAACUGCAAGAGGUGUGAGGAGCAGUUACCGGUGAAAACAGAAGUUAGACUAAUGAUGCCAAAGCAUAUGAGUGGAUUAGGAAUUACUGUCCCUCUUUCUGGUGCUUAAAAGAGCAAACUGUGUGUGAACGUGCAGUAGGGCAGGGAGGGCGGAUGGAUGUGCUCUUCUGACCUGUGUGUUUGUUGGGGAAGGGUUCUGCUCAGUUCCUGACUGCUGGCUGUUGUGGUUUAACCCAGCAGGUGGCUCAGCACCACGCCAUUGUUCCCUCAUUCCUCCCUUCCCAGUAGGAUGGGGGAGAGAAUACAAAAACUCACAGUAGAACUCAUGGGUUGAGAUAAAACUAAGACAGAAAAGGAAGAGAAUAGUAAUUAUGACAUGUAUGCAUAUGAAUGUAUAUAAAAGUGAUGCACAAGCAAUGGCUCACCGCCCCCUGCCUGAUGCCCAGUUAGCCCCUGAGCAGCAGAAGAGUGAGAGAUGAACUCUCAUCCUCCUCAAAACUCCUGCUUGAUGUCAUAUGGUAUGGAAUAUCCCUUUGGCCAGCUUAAGUCAGCUGUCUUAAUUCUGCUUGUUCCCUCCCAGCUCCUGGGGCCCUUUGCUGCAGAGGGCCUGGGCUCUAUACACUGCUGCUUAGCAGCAGCUACAAACAUCGGUGUGGCAGCAACAUUGCUUUUCUCCUAGACCCAAAGCAUAGCAUCAUACCAGGUACUCUGAAGAAAACAAUUCCAUUCGAUCUGUAACUAAGGUGCUGAUCACUCAGGGUCAUUCCUCUCCCAUCCAG
ensembl:lncRNA